ACGUGCAUUAGUCAGCAGUUGUAUGUGCAUCUCUCCCAAAGCUGCAUGCUCUGUCGAAGAAAACAUCCUUUCACGAAUAGAGGAGGACCAAUUUUCAGGCAAAGGUAGCUGCACUCCCCUGCUAGAACCUCCAAACAAGCUCUCAAAGUUCAUCAUGAACAGCUGUGGGGACCCAGUGUGGCAGAGAAAAACAUUCGGCUAUACACAUGUGUAUGCAUGUAUCUAUUAGCU
rnacentral:snRNA from 1 species